rnacentral:rRNA from 1 species
GGAUCAAAUUGUCGGUCAUGCCUCAGUACGCACUGGCGUUAUUGGUUCCUCCCUUCUGAAGAACCGCGAUGUCAUUAAUUUGGUGUCGCGGGGAAUCAGGACUGUUACUUUGAAAAAAUUAGAGUGUUUAAAGCAAGCUCACGCUUGAAUACAUUAGCAUGGAAUAAUGAAAUAGGACGUUUGAUUCUAUUUUGCUGGUUUCUAGGAUCGACGUAAUGAUUA